rnacentral:lncRNA from 1 species
UAGAAAGAUUAUCUGCAUUGGACCUCUGCAACCACCUCUCCUAACCUAGUGGAAGGCUCCGGUGUUUUCUUCAAUGCCCGCACCAACCUUCUUAAACCCCGGAAGGAGGCAGAGAGAGGAAGAUGGUCAAGCCCUGAGGGAGCGGGACAAGUCCUCGCUGGCCCCUGAGGGCCCCUCCGGCUCGCCGAAAGUCCCAGACAUGACCCUCAGCCCACGGAGACCCCGUGCUCAGCCUGCUGCCUCCAGCAGCUCUUCCUCCAGCAACAGUCACACUGCUGCAGCCUGCCUCAACCACUGCCACAACAGCAGCUCUGGGUUAGUACUAACAGCUAGCCACCUGACCAAUCAGUUAGCAGGCUACAUAAGCUAGCCGCUGGUCAAUAGCAGUGUAUUGACCGCCACUA